rnacentral:lncRNA from 1 species
UUUAACAUCUCAUGACUUUAGCCUCAAUUUGUUCUUGGUUUGAAACCAAGAACGUGAACAAGACUAUUUCGUCCAAACAAUUCCACUAUUUAGCCAAAAUAUUUCGAUAGAAAUUUCAAAAGGCCACCACAAUUUCGUUCAAAAUUUCAAAGGGAUUCAGGCAGAAUUUCGUUCAACACAUUUCAUGGAAGCAGAAGCUUCAUUCCGUUCAAAUAAUUCUAGGAACAGGUAUGUUAAGGCUAUCCCUUCUUUCUUUUGGCACGGUCCAAAUUAUACAGAAGAAACGAGCAAAUACAUAGUUUCUUUAAAUUACUCUAUUCAUAGAAAUAGUAGGGGUGUCUAUAUUCUUGAUUCCCCAUGAGAAUUAUUAUUAUCUUCUGUUCAUGAGUAUCAGAAUAAUACGUAGUUAGAAAUGUUUAUCCGAAAGGAAUAUCGAGAUUGUUAUGUAUUUUUCAUGCAUUUCACUCAUUUAUACAUGUGCAUUGACCCAUGACCAGAUGACGUUAUAUACGCGUAUAUAUGUAAAUAUAUGUAUAUGGAAUAUGGAAAAAGGUUAUGGCGUUAUAUACGCAUCACCACCUGAUCAGCCGGUAUAUGAUGAUGAUGUUGCCCAUAGUGGCUGAAAUAUGAUUCAAACGGUGUUAUAUACGCGUAUAUAUACAGUACUCUAUAUUUCUUCCAUGUCUCUUUUGUACUUAUUUAUAUGCCUUACAUACUCGGUACACUAUUCGUACUAACGUCCUUUUGCCUGGGAACNNNNNNNNNNNNNNNNNNNNNNNNNNNNNNNNNNNNNNNNNNNNNNNNNNNNNNNNNNNNNNNNNNNNNNNNNNNNNNNNNNNNNNNNNNNNNNNNNNNNNNNNNNNNNNNNNNNNNNNNNNNNNNNNNNNNCUUGUAGACGUAUGUCGUAUACGUGAAAGAUUGUGCGGCCUUGUCGGCCUAUGUUUUGAGUUUAUAAAUAAUUAUAUUGGCGUAUUAGGCCUGUAUGUCAUGUGUAUAUGAUGAUGUAAUAAGAAAGAUACGUUACGUUGGUACUCUAUCGAGUAAGGUACCGGGUGCCCGUCGCGGUCCAUCAGUUUGAGUCGUGACAAAAGUGGUAUCAAAGCAGUUCUAUCCUAUGGAGUCUACAAGCCGUGUCUAGUAGAGUCUUAUUUAUGGGUGUGUCGUGCACCACACUUAUAAGCAGGAGGCUGUAGGGUAUUUAGGAUUGUCACUCUUUUUUCUUACUCUAGAUCGUGUGGUAGAGCUCACUUAUAAGAAUUCAAAUUUCAAAAUUCUAUUUUAUUCGUAAUAAAACGAUGCCUAAAUUCAGAAAGACGGUCGCUAAGGGAUAUAGCUAUGGAAGUGUUGAGUUAGAGGAACUCGAUUUUGCAUCUUGCUUAUGAUGAGUAAAUGUGAGGUCUUCGGCAGAUCAUGCGUGUACUAAAAGGUGUAAGGUUCUUGAUAAGGAGCUUUAAGGAAAGAAUACUUAUCCACUCUUACGAUUAAAAGGAAUAAUGGAAUCGGAAGUUAGACAUAAGUUUCUGCAAGUAAAUGAAGCAAGGUGAAGAAGGGUAUGAGGUACCCAGUUAAUAAAGAUUAUCAUUAUUUAUCAUUCAGGAAAGGAGAUAUAAGCAUUUUGAGUUACCUUCAACAGUAACAAGUGUACGUACAAUCGGCACAUCUAUCUCAGUCGUGCCUUAUGGGAGCUAACAGAUAUGGUUUAAGAGAAGGAUGGGAUAGCAGGAUCCGGCUAGGAUUAGAGUAACCCAAAAUGAUGGAUGGAUGGUUUGCGCUAAUUUACAUUUCGGAAGAAUAUUAAAAAGGUGAAAAUAGAUCUCCUUAUGGGAUACCUAGAUGGUGCCCUCUAAAAUAGUACAGGUAGACAUGAGUACUACAUAGACAUGCACUUGAAGCCUGAAAAGGAUAAAUAUUAUCUUAGUAUGGCUCUCGUCCCUAGUGGAGAGAUAAUGCUAGGUAACCCAAAGAGCUAAUGGAUGGUGCAAAGGGGAACUAAAAGCAAAAGAAUAUCUUGUUGAAGUUUUCAGAAUAAAGUGAUAGACAUAAAUGUUCGCAGGAAAUAAGAAGAGAGCUAAUGAAGCAUUAAGAGUAAGAUGUGAUACAUGGAUGAAAACGGUAGGCCAAAACAAUGAUAGCAUUCCAGAGUCGAUAGUCAAGUGAAGGAAAAGACGAAAAGUGACAGGCCUUGAGGUAACAAAAGAAUAUAGGCCAUAAAGUCAUGCCCUCACUUCGAGAAACAAGUUCGCGACACUAACGUGAUUCAGAAGAAAAAGUUAGACCCUAGAGUAAUAGAAGUCAGCAUGGACUGGUGGAAAAAGAUAAACUAAACAUGAAUUAGGGACUGAGUGAUUUGAUGGUGGUCGGCAUCAGAAGAACUUCAUAUUGCGUUCCGGCGAUAAUAGAAUGGACCACAGAGGAAGAUUCGUGAGAAACUCAGAGAAUGGUUAUUCAGGAAGACGCUUCCCUAAAGCAAGCAAUGUGAGCAAAGUUAAACUUAAGGGAUUGUAUGUGCUAGUUACACUAAGUAUCACCUUCGUGAGUGAGGAAUUUUGUUAUCUUUGGUACAUAAGGAUUGUCGCAAGGCGAGUAAGGGUCAUCAAUGAUGUGAAAAGACACCAAAGAUGAAGAGGUAACACAUCUAUAGGUAGAUCAUCGUGGCUUCAACUCUUAGUACUCCCCUAAAGGGGGGAAUAUGGAGUAAUGUGGUGUUAAGUCGUAAUUAAGUGAUUCUAGUAGCUACAAAAUGGUAAAGGAAGAAUGCAAUAAAAAUAAAAAAGGGAUGAGAUUGCACUAUUCAAAGCCCACAGAUAGGCUACGAUCAUAGAACAUUAUGCAAACACGACGUCAAGGAGAAAAAAGUGAGGCAUUCCUGCCUGGAAUGUUAUGGAUAAAUAAGGAGCCAGUGCGAGACGUAAGUUAAGACAAAGGAAAUAAACCAAGAAAGAUUAUGUGGAAUAUUUAUGUGAGAACGGGCCAACGAGUAGUUAGAAGUUGAUUAAGGAAGAGCCUAGUUACGGCUAGAUAGGAGGUUACAGACGAAUCAACAGAUCAUGCAAGAUAAACAUAGUAAAACCCAAUAUAGUGAAUUCAGCUUCACAGUAAUGUUAUUAUAAUACUUGAAAUAUAUUUCGAUAGGAGUCGGGGUAGUUAAAGGUACCAUAUGAAUGUUACGGGAAUAAAAGAGAGUGCCACUGGGGAGAUAGUUAAAAUAUCAGUUCAGAAGCAACUCUACAAGCACAAGGGCAUGGAGGUAAGCAACUAUAGAUAAUUAUAGGCAAGGAAGGACAUCAAAAGGUCCAUAAUAAGCUCACAACUUUACAGGAAUCAAGGGUUCUCCCUAAGUACUAUAAAGAAAGACUAGCUAAGGAAAUAAGGAAGAAGACUUCAACCUAAGUACAACAAACUAAAAAGGAAAGGGUCGUGUAACAACAGUCUUACAACAACAUUAUAAGCACUCCAAAGGAAAGUGGCCCCUACAGUGGAUAAUGAAUGGGAAGAAAAAUUAAAAGUAAUAUUCGAAGGUCAUAUGAGUUGCACGAAAGCUCUAGCAUGUGUGGGAACUAAGAUAAGCUAAGUAUGCACGCAACAAGGGGGCAGAAAGACCAGGAAAGGUAAUAGCUUACAUUGAAGAAAACUAAGAAGGAACAAAAGAAAUUAUUUGAUCAAUGAUCCCGAGUUGGUAACGUUAUGAACGCACUUAAGAGUUUGGAGUUUUAUACCUGCAUCAUAUACAGUCGUAGAAGAUUCUGGGAUAAGUUAAAAGAAAGAAUUGAGCCCAGGUCAUAGAUGAAUGAUUGAAUUGUUAUAGGAUUUUAUCAUAAAUAUCCCUCAGUGCCUAUGAAAGGCUAAAGUAAUAACUAAUACCAGGAACCGCAGGUCGGAAGAUAUCUUAAGCCUACAUAGAGGCUGAUCAGAAAGAAGAGGAGACUAAAGAGUUACAUUGACUAAGCAAAAUAGGAGGGACCAAGAGAAUUAUAGACCUCAGGAUCACUCUUAAGUAGCAGAGGUAUAAUAAAGAUAGUAUAAUAGCCAUAUAUUAUAAUAGCUUUAUUAUAAAACCAACUGAAGAGUACCAGCCUCAUAAGAAGUCAGUACGAAGCUCCCAUCGGAUUGUGUAUGCACCAGAGGUGUAAGAAUUAUAAUAGAGCUACAAGUUAUGAACGUGAAUUAUACCUAUGUGGAAGGGAGGUCAUGAAAGAGAUAGAAGAUACAAUGCGAGAUUUUAAGGUAAGUAAGGUAAAGGUGAAUAGUGUACGAGAUACUCAAAGGUAGAAUAUGUGAAUAGUCCAUACUUCGGAUAAAAGGCUAGAAGUGCUGGGAUUCAAUAUCCAGGAAUGAUAGCGGCAUAGUCAGUAGCAUAUCUCAUAGCCUAUGGUUUAGGUAUCGAGGAGGCUAAUUAAGACAGUAAAGAAGAGUUAGAGACGAUGUGAUGUCUCGCUUGAUGUCCCAGAAUGACAUAAGGAAAUCUAUGAUGCAAACAAGUUGAAAGGUUGCAAUUAAUAUAAAUAGAGUUGUGUAGGUCGCAAGCCAUUGUAUGGUGAAGCGACAAGGUUAUAGAAGACAAGAGUAAGGAUAAGAAAGGGCGAGUGAGAAGGUAACGAAAAUGGAUAAGUCCUCAGGAUUAAGCCCAUGAAAAUAAGAAGAGCAAAUGGUUUCUCUAAAUUAUACAAAGCUCACUAUAGCCUGAAUGAACUCAAAGGAGUCUAAUACUAAUAGCAUUUAGAAUGCCACCUAGGUAAUAGAAUGAGGGUGUAAUUGUGAUAGAUAAAAGAUGAUGUUUGGGACUUCGAUUGAGUAAUGAUUCAACGAAAAAAAAGAAACGAAUCUCAUGAAUUGGACAGGAUUAAAGUACCCCACGUAAGGUGAAUCGCAUUGGGAUGUUGUGAGGUAUGGUUAUGAAAGCAGGGUAUCGCCCCAGGUGGAUCAAUCUAAUCAUUCCAGACGUUCUCCGAUAAAAUGUGAAUCCUAGAAGCAAUAUUACAUAAAAGGUUAAGUUAUCAAUGGUAUAUUGUAGAUCAAUAUUGAGGUGAAUCAACAAUGGAUGGACAAAAGUUACAAAGUAUGAGAUAAGAUUUGGCUGUCAUACUAAAGAUGAACAGUAAUGAGGAAGCAUUAAAGGACUUAAAUUUAUACAUAUGGAAUGUGCAACGAGAGUAAGCUGGGAUUUGGUAGCAGACCUCAGCAACGAUAAAUUAAAGUAAGAGUUAUGGCAGUAAAUUCAUACGGAUGGUUAAACGGACCUAUGCGAUGAGAUAUAACAAUAUUCAUGAAUUCAACCAAGUACCGAGCGAAGAACUUCAGUAUACUCAUAAAUGCCCAAAGGGAAAUCUUAUCAAGCUCGACAUGUGAAGCCUAGAGAUUGGGCACACUUAUAAGAUCAAAACUAUAUAGGUUGCAUGAUGAAAGGUAGGAACAUUUACGAGAUUGAAAGGAUUCCGACUACAAGUUGUGGUGUGAGAAGGAGGCCUAAGGGGGGGAUGACCUAGACUUUGGACUUAUUCACAGAACAGUCGCCUAGAUGGCAAGGAAAGUUCUAAAGUAUUCGGAAGAUAUAAGUUAAGAAAAUGAUAAGAGCAUUAGUCAACAUUCGAGGACGAAUGUUCCAAAGGGGGGAAUGAUGUUACACCCUGCAAUAUUAUAUUAAUAUUACGUCCCGCAGUAUUAUAUUAUGACAAUGAUAUGCUCUGUAGUAAUAUAUUACGGUGAUGUUACGCUUCGCAGUAAUAAGUUACGAUAGUGUUUCACCCUGCAGUAUUGUACGCUGAAUUUGUCGUAAGGUGACAUCAGUUCAAGGAAAAGAUUAUUUGGAGAUUAUAAGGAUUGUAAGUGAUGAAUAAAUUCGUGAAGGUGAGGGGGGAAGCAAGUUGAAGAAAAUGAAUUUCGUUAAAAUUUGGUAUUUUGGGAUAAAAUAUGGCUCAAGCUAAAAUACUCGGUAUUUAUGGACUAGUACAAUAGAGGGUACCACAUGACCAUAAUAGUAAGGCAUAUAAGGUAUGUGAAAAGUGAGUAAUAUUUUAAGUAAGUGGGAAUAAUUCUCAAAUUUUCGGGUAAUUGGUUAAUUACCGGGUAACAGGACAUUACCCAAUUAACUAAUAAGUAGAUAAAAUUUAAUAUACUAACCACCCCACCCACGUGGCACAAGGCCACUAAUUAAAGAGGAUGACUCAUAAACAAUUGAAAUAGGUGUCUAAUCUUAUCCCUACAAGGAAUCUGAUAAACCCACUAAUAUGACACUUCAAAUUAGUAUCAAGUCCAUUAAAAACCAAGAAAACAGAAGCAAAUUUUAUUCUUGUGUGUCUUUAACAUCUCAUGACUUUAGCCUCAAUUUGUUCUUGGUUUGAAACCAAGAAUGUGAACAGGACUAUUUCAUCUAAACAAUUCCACUCUUUAGCCAAAAAUAUUUCGAUAGAAAUUUCAAAAGGCCACCACAAUUUCGUUCAAAAUUUCAAAAGGAUUCAGGCUGAAUUUCGUUCACUACAUUUCACGGAAGCAGAAGCUUCAUUCCGUUCAAAUAAUUCCAGGAACAGGUAUGUUAAGACUAUCCCUUCUUUCUUUUGGCACGGUCCAAAUUAUACAGAAGAAACGAGCAACUACAUAGUUUCUAUAAAUUACUCUAUUCAUAGAAAUAGUAGGGAUGUCUAUAUUCUUGAUUCCCCAUGAGAAUUAUUAUUAUCUUCUGUUUAUGAGUCUCAGAAUAAUACGUAGUUGGAAAAGUUUAUCCGGAAGGAAUAUCGAGAUUAUUAUGUAUUUUUCAUGCAUUUCACUCAUUUAUACAUGUGCAUUGAGCCAUGACCAGAUGGCGUUAUAUACGUGUAUAUAUGUAAAUAUAUGUAUAUGGAAUAUGGGAAAAGGUUAUGGUGUUAUAUACGCACCACCACCUGAUCAGCUAGUAUAUGAUGAUGAUGUUGCCCAUAGUCGCUGAAAUAUGAUUCAAACAGCAUUAUAUACGCGUAUAUAUGUAUGUAUAUAUGGGAUAUGAAAAGGUUAUGGCGUUAUAUACGCAUUACCACCUGAUCAGCUGGUAUACAAUGAUGAUUUUGCCCACAGUGGCCGAUAUGAUAUGAUGGGAUGCCCUCAGAGGCUGAUGAUGUUAUGAAACAUGUACCUAUGCACAACAUAACAUUUAUACGCAUAUGCAUGAUGCUAAAAGUAAUUUAUGAUUUACAAAGUUAUUCAGACUUAAAGGUUGAGUCAUGUACUCUAUAUUUCUUCCAUAUCUUUUAUGUACUUAUUUAUAUGCCUUACAUACUCGGUACAUUAUUCGUACUGACAUCCCUUUUGCCUGGGGAUGCUGCGUUUCAUGCCCGCAGGUCCCGAUAGAUAGGUCGAGAGCCCUCCAAGCAGGCUAUCAGCUCAGCGGAAGAUGUUGGUGCACUCUAUUUGCUUCGGAGUUACUUGUUUGGUUAGUAUGAUUUAGACGUGUAUUGUUUGGUAUGGCGGGACUCUAUCCCGACCUUACGACAUUUAUGUACUCUUAGAGGC